GAUGAACGCUGGCGGCGUGCCUAAUACAUGCAAGUCGAGCGAACAGACGAGGAGCUUGCUCCUCUGACGUUAGCGGCGGACGGGUGAGUAACACGUGGAUAACCUACCUAUAAGACUGGGAUAACUUCGGGAAACCGGAGCUAAUACCGGAUAAGAUAUUGAACCGCAUGGUUCAAUAGUGAAAGACGGUUUUGCUGUCACUUAUAGAUGGAUCCGCGCCGCAUUAGCUAGUUGGUAAGGUAACGGCUUACCAAGGCAACGAUGCGUAGCCGACCUGAGAGGGGGAUCGGCCACACUGGAACUGAGACACGGUCCAGACUCCUACGGGAGGCAGCAGUAGGGAAUCUUCCGCAAUGGGCGAAAGCCUGACGGAGCAACGCCGCGUGAGUGAUGAAGGUCUUCGGAUCGUAAAACUCUGUUAUUAGGGAAGAACAAAUGUGUAAGUAACUAUGCACGUCUUGACGGUACCUAAUCAGAAAGCCACGGCUAACUACGUG
rnacentral:rRNA from 1 species